rnacentral:rRNA from 1 species
UGGCGUACGGGUGAGUAACACGUGGAUCAUCUACCUUUUAGUGGGGAAUACCCCCGGGAAACUGGGGAUAAUACCGCAUAAUCUCGUAAGAGGAAAGCAGCAAUGCGCUGAAAGAGGAGUCCGCGGCUGAUUAGCUAGUUGGUGAGGUAAUGGCUCACCGAGGCGAAGAUCGGUAGCCGGCCUGAGAGGGCACACGGCCACACUGGCACUGAAACACGGGCCAG